rnacentral:rRNA from 1 species
UACGUAGGGUGCGAGCGUUAUUCGGAAUUACUGGGCGUAAAGCGUGCGCAGGCGGUUGUGUAAGACAGGUGUGAAAUCCCCGGGCUUAACCUGGGAACUGCAUUUGUGACUGCAUGGCUAGAGUUUGGCAGAGGGGGGUAGAAUUCCACGUGUAGCAGUGAAAUGCGUAGAUAUGUGGAGGAACACCGAUGGCGAAGGCAGCCCCCUGGGUCAAGACUGACGCUCAUGCACGAAAGCGUGGGGAGCAAACAGG